rnacentral:misc_RNA from 1 species
GGGCAGCGACGGCAUUUCCCCCACACCUCUUCAUUUGUGGGAAUGACUUUUUGCUCGUCCAUGGUUGGCUUUCCUGUGUUGCAUACCCCUAUUGCGAGGGCAUUCGGUYGKCUAAAAUGGUCCCAUCUCCGCCYUGUGUCGGCGCUCCUUGCGGGCGUGUGGCAYGGGGUGGAUCUCAAGGCAUGCAUUGUGUUUCGCGCCGCAUUCACCUUUAUGGGUGUUUGGGUAGGCGACCCACGACGCAUUGCCCGUUGUCUCGGGUACGGAAUAUCGGGUGGGUACGAGGCAUUGGCCUCCGAUCACCACAUCAACGCGUUCAACGCUUUAUGCGAACGACGGCCGCACUUGGCCUUUGGCGGAGCACUCGCUGCUCGGUCGAAGCCUCGUCGGCGUCGGUGAGGGAUGCUACCUGGUUGAUCCUGCCAGUAGUCAUAUGCUUGUCUCAAAGAUUAAGCCAUGCAUGUGUAA